UACGAAGGGUGCAAGCGUUGCUCGGAAUUAUUGGGCGUAAAGGGUAGGUAGGUGGUAAUACAAGUCUGGGGUGAAAUCCCUGAGCUCAACUCAGGACGUGCCUUGGAAACUUUAUUACUAGAGUGCUGGAGAGGUCCGCAGAAUUCCCGGUGUAGCGGUGAAAUGCGUAGAGAUCGGGAGGAAUACCAGAGGCGAAGGCGGCGGACUGGACAGCAACUGACACUCAACUACGAAAGCGUGGGUAGCAAACAGG
rnacentral:rRNA from 1 species